UCUAUCCCUGGGUGGAGCAUAGCUUUCCGAAAGGAAAGGAAAUUCUCCAUAGCUCUCGUAAGAGUAAAGGACUUAACGGUCCGCCGAGGGGGGAGCCUGCGUCCUAUCAGCUAGUUGGCGGGGUAAAGGCCCACCAAGGCAAUGACGGGUAGCUGGACUGAGAGGUCGAUCAGCCACAACUGCACUGAGACACGGGCAGUACAUCUACGGAUGGCAGCAACCAGGAAUAUUGCGCAAUGGACGAAAGUCUGACGCAGCGACGCCGCGUGGAGGAUGAAGGCCCUCGGGUUGUAAACUCCUUUUACCAAGCCGUUCACAGCUUGGAGAAUAAGCCCCUACUAACUACGUGCCAGAAGUCUCGGUAAUACGUAGGGGGCAAGCGUUAUCCGGAUUUAUUGGGCGUAAAGUGUGCGUAGGCGUUCCAUAAAGUCUUCACUUAAAUACCGAGGCUUAACCUCGGGACUGGUGGAGAUACUCAUGGAAUUGAGGAUUGGUAAGGAUGCUGGAACAGUUAGUGUAGCAGUGAAAUGCGUUGAUAUUAACUGGAACACCGAGGGCGAAGGCAAGCAUCUGUACUUUUCCUGACGCUGAGGCACGAAAGCUAGGGUAGCGAAAUAGAUUAGAUACCUGUGUAGUCCUAGCCGUAAACGAUAUCCGCUGGCUCUUGCCGACUUGUCGGCAG
rnacentral:rRNA from 1 species